rnacentral:lncRNA from 10 species
GCACAGUAUUAGAGGUUUGCCAAGAACACAUCCUUGUGUCUGCCAAGGAGCGUCUGUUUGAGGAAGAACAUUCUAACAGAGAAUGUUCAGAGACAAAAUGCUGGCUGUGGGAGACAGUCAAAUCUUUGUCUCUAUGAUGAGCAAGUGGAGGCUGGAUGGCCACUGUGGAUAGGGGGCAGGGGUCCUGAAGAUGGGAUGCCAGUCUCAAAUGGGGAGGGGUUGGGCUGGGAGGGGCAGGAUGAACAGGAUGAUUUUUAAGUCCCUUCCAACCCGGAGAGUCCCCACCUUACUGCCUAACUCAGUAUUUUUUUUUGAAAGUGCAUGAAUGAAUACAUUUCAGUCACAAAGAAAGUAAAGGACAUAUGAAAUAAAAUAGCCUGACUUAAUGAGCAAAUAAGAAUUAUAACACAGAUUCUUUCUGAAAGGUGUAGCCUCAUGAGAUCAAUGUUCUCAGCCCUCAUGAGGCUGACGGAUGGUGAAGAGUGGUCAGGAAGGCAUGUGACGCAUAUCCGUAAUUUACACGCCAGCCACAAAGAGGGCUGAGCUCAGGGAGGAGUCAGAGCCUUGAGACAGGC